rnacentral:tRNA from 1 species
GGUUCCAUGUUGUAGUGGUUAGCACAUCUGCUUUACGCACAGAAGAUCCUGGGUUGAACCCCCAGUGGAGCCA